UACGUAGGGUGCGAGCGUUAAUCGGAAUUACUGGGCGUAAAGCGUGCGCAGGCGGUUAUGUAAGACAGGUGUGAAAUCCCCGGGCUUAACCUGGGAACUGCAUUUGUGACUGCAUAGCUAGAGUACGGUAGAGGGGGGUAGAAUUCCUGGUGUAGCAGUGAAAUGCGUAGAUAUCAGGAGGAAUACCGAUGGCGAAGGCAGCCCCCUGGGUCGAUACUGACGCUCAUGCACGAAAGCGUGGGGAGCAAACAGG
rnacentral:rRNA from 1 species